CCUGGGGAAGAAACACAGCUCUGUGUCCUGGCUUUGCAGCCCAGCUCCUACAUGGAGAAACAAAAUGAGAGGCACAGCUCACCCUCUCCAAGGAAUACGCCCUUCCUAAUGAGAGUCGACCCAGGAGCUAUGUGGGAGUGGCGCCCAUUCCCAGGCAGGCUUCAAUGCCACUGAAAGCCAGCGAUGGAGACAGGCAGCCUCUGAGAAAAGAGACACCAGUGGGAAAUUUUGCUUUGAUGCUGGCUCGUCAGCAAGCUCCGGCACCAGGGAGGAGGAGGAGGAAGGACUGCCGGCUCUCGCGAUGCUCCCCUGCAUGUGCAUACAUGCAGAGCUGAGCUCAGCCAGAGAUCCUGGGAGAGGGUUGCAGCAACCGCAGAGCAAGUCACCAGCUGUGCCCUGCCUGACUGGGCAGCACAGGGCUGGCACAGCCUGAGCCCCACAUGGCAGCCAAGCACCCGCCAUUGGACAGGACGGACCGCGGAGAAGAGUUGGCACUGCAAGGACGCCACGAAAGGACCGUGUCGUACAACCGCCCAUCGUCCCAAGAUGUCGGUGCCCAUGGAGGACACACCAUGGUCAGCAGGUCCACCCUGACUGGAGGAUCACUAAGACAGAAGAUGAUGCAAAGUAUUUCUAUUUGCUAUAUAUAUUCUGCAGUGUACUAUCAAGGAGCUGCUUCUUCUCAGCCCAGGGCAGUGAAUGUGUUAGGUGGAGAAUGCAGACAGAAAAGUCUCUCAGCUUGCCACAGACUUAUUUGCUCUUCUUUAAUUCCUUCACUUGCUCUAGUGGACCCAUCUUGUCCAUCCCAUCCUCUCAUCUUCCUCAGAUUAAUUCAUUUGGCCUUAUUGUAA
rnacentral:lncRNA from 1 species